CAGUUGGGGUUUAAAAGCCCGUGUGGGUUCGAGCCCCACUUCUUCCACAUUUAGAGAGGUGUCUGAGUGGCUUAAGGUGCUACUU
rnacentral:tRNA from 1 species